UACGUAGGGGGGCAAGCGUUGUCCGGAAUCAUUGGGCGUAAAGCGCGUGUAGGCGGCCAGAAAAGUCCGCUGUGAAAACUCGAGGCUCAACUUCGAGCUGUCGGUGGAAACUUUCUGGCUAGAGUCCGGAAGAGGAGAGUGGAAUUCCUGGUGUAGCGGUGAAAUGCGCAGAUAUCAGGAAGAACACCCGUGGCGAAGGCGGCUCUCUGGGACGGUACUGACGCUGAGACGCGAAAGCGUGGGAGCGAACAGG
rnacentral:rRNA from 1 species